AACAGGUGAACGUUGAAAAGUUCUCUGAUGAGCUGAGGGUAGGAGUGAAAGGCUAAUCAAACCCCGUGAUAGCUGGUUCUCUUCGAAAUGCAUUUAGGUGCAGCGUCACGUGCUGAUGCGCGGGGGUAGAGCACUGACAAGGCUAGGGGGCACACCCGCUUACCAAACCUUAUCAAACUCCGAAUACCGUGCAAUGGAACGUGGCAGUGAGACAGUGGGGGAUAAGCUUCAUUGUCGAGAGGGAAACAACCCAGACCAGCAGCUAAGGUGCCUAAAUAACGCUCAGUGGAAAGGAUGUGGGAUUACACAGACAGUGAGGAUGUUGGCUUAGAAGCAGCCACCAUUUAAAAAAUGCGUAAUAGCUUACUCAUCGAGUGAUCCUGCGCCGAAAAUGAUUGGCGAUCAAGCGUUAUACCGAAGCUCUGGACUUUACCUUACGGUAGAGUGGUAGAAGAGCGUUGCAUGCGCGUUGAAGGGUGAUGGCGACUGACCCUGGAGCACAUGCAAGUGAGUAUGCAGACAUGAGUAACGUAAAGCCGGGUGAAAUCCCCGGCCGCCGUAAACCCGAGGUUUCCAGGGCAACGUGUUUCGUCCCUGGGUUAGCCGGGACCUAAGCCGAGGCCGAGAGGCGUAGGCGAUGGAUAUCAGGUUAAUAAUCCUGAGCUCGCGACCCUUAAACUGGGGGGACGCAUGAGAAAAGAUGACUAGGUUAUUGAAUUCCGAGUUGAGUCCACGGACUCAGCGCAUCAUUGGAUCGAGUGCCAAGAAAAGCCCCAGCGUAUGCUAAGCGACCCGUACCGCAAACCGACACAGGUGGGUGGGUAGAAUAUACCAAGGCGUAAGAGUGAAACCUGGUUAAGGAACUCGGCAAAUUAGCCCCGUAACUUCGGAAGAAGGGGUGCCUGCAGCGAUGCAGGCCGCAGAGAAAUGGCCCAACCGACUGUUUAUCAAAAACACAGCACUCUGCAAAGACGCAAGUCGAAGUAUAGGGUGUGACACGUGACCAAUGCCGAAAGAUUAAGGCAAGGGGUUAGCCGCAAGGCGAAGCUCUGAACCCAAGUCCCGGUGAAUGUCGGCCGUAACUAUAACGGUCCUAAGGUAGCGAAAUUCCUUGUCGGGUAAGUUCCG
rnacentral:rRNA from 1 species